UAAACUGAUAGUUGGUAAAAA
ensembl:piRNA 21ur-5388 ncRNA